rnacentral:rRNA from 1 species
UACGAAGGGGGCUAGCGUUGCUCGGAAUGACUGGGCGUAAAGGGCGCGUAGGCGGUUCGUACAGUCAGACGUGAAAUUCCCGGGCUCAACCUGGGGACUGCGUUUGAUACGUGCGGGCUUGAGUUCGGAAGAGGGUCGUGGAAUUCCCAGUGUAGAGGUGAAAUUCGUAGAUAUUGGGAAGAACACCAGUGGCGAAGGCGGCUCACUGGCCCGGUACUGACGCUGAGGUGCGAAAGCGUGGGGAGCAAACAGG